rnacentral:rRNA from 1 species
UACGGAGGAUCCAAGCGUUAUCCGGAUUUAUUGGGUUUAAAGGGUGCGCAGGCGGAAGAUUAAGUCGGCGGUGAAAUUUUGCAGCUCAACUGUAAAAGUGCCAUCGAUACUGGUUUUCUUGAGUGUGGAUGAAGUAGGCGGAAUUUGUGGUGUAGCGGUGAAAUGCUUAGAUAUCACGAGGAACUCCGAUUGCGCAGGCAGCUUACUAGGCCAUAACUGACGCUCAUGCACGAAGGCGUGGGGAUCAAACAGGAUUAGA